GACGGAGGAUGCAAGCGUUAUCCGGAAUUAUUGGGCGUAAAGCGUCCGUAGGCGGUUUCAAAAGUCUGUUGUUAAAGCCCACAGCUCAACUGUGGAUCGGCAAUGGAAACUGUGAGACUAGAGAGUGGUAGGGGUAGAGGGAAUUCCUAGUGUAGCGGUGAAAUGCGUAGAGAUCCGGAGGAACACCAGUGGCGAAGGCGACACGCUGGGCCGUACCUGACACUGAGGCGCGAUAGCAUGGGGAGCAAACAGG
rnacentral:rRNA from 1 species